rnacentral:misc_RNA from 1 species
GGGGGCACCGGCGGCGGU